rnacentral:lncRNA from 1 species
GAUUAGCAGAGUGGAUCAAAAACAAGAUCCAACUAUAUUGCAAAAGACUCGUUUCUUUUUUUUUUUCUUUAAAUAUAUAUAUAUAUGUGUGUGUGUGUGUGUGUGUGUGUGUAUUUGUUGUUGUUGAUGGACUUUUAUUUAUAUGUGAUGCUGAGAAUCAAACCCAGUGCUUCACACAUGCUAGGCAAGUGCUCUACUAUUGAGCUACAACCUCAGCCAAGAGACUCAUUUCAUAGGCAAAGACACAGACUGAAGGUAAACGGAUGGAAAAAAAUAUUCUAUACAAAUGGAGUCUGCAAACAUGCAGGCAUCUGAAAACCAGAUAUUCUCAUAUCUGACAAAGCAGAUAUCAAGCAAAAAUUAUUUGGAAGGCACAAAGAAGGCCACUACAUCCUGGUAAAUGGAAAAUUCCAACAAGAAGAUAUAAUGAGAGCUGGGGUUGUGGCUCAGCAGUAGAGUGCUUGCCUAACACGUGC